rnacentral:rRNA from 1 species
AUUGAACGCUAGCGGGAUGCCUUACACAUGCAAGUCGAACGGAGUGGCGAACGGGUGAGUAAUGUAUCGGAACGUGCCCAGUAGCGGGGGAUAACUACGCGAAAGCGUAGCUAAUACCGCAUACUAUUGGAGCGGCAGAUAUCUGAAUAGCUAGUUGGUGGGGUAACGGCUCACCAAGUCGACGAUCCGUAGCUGGUUUGAGAGGACGACCAGCCACACGGGGACUGAGACCCGGCCCAAAUUCUUACGGGAGGCAGCAGUGGGGAAUGUUGGACAAGGGGGGAAACCCUGAUCCAGCCAUCCCGCGUGUGCGAUGAAGGCCUUCGGGUUGUAAAGCACUUUUGGCAGGAAAGCGGUACCUGUAGAAUAAGCACCGGCUAACUACGUGCCAGCAGCCACGGUAAUUC